GUGCUCGCUUUGGCAGCACAACACAUAUACUAAAAAUUGGCACGAUACAGAGAUUAUUAUUAGUAUGGCCCCUGCGCAAGGAUGCCAUACAAAUUUUUGGCGUUUCAUAAAAAAUUUUU
ensembl:snRNA U6 U6 spliceosomal RNA